GAUAAGAUUACUACUCACAAUACUCGUGCCGAAAUACAAAGCGUAUCACUUCGAGCAGUCCGUACAACUUCUUUCGAUCAAUCUAUAUUAUCAGAAACAUGAGUUAAGUAUCAACUUCAUGAGUUAAGUAUCAACUUCAUGAACUACGACAUAGUCGGGUUUUAUUCUAUCAAAUGUCCUCCUGAUUCCAUUUGAAAUAACCUCAAUCAGGCUACCCAUGACCCUAUCAAACUAUUCUCUGUAAUUCUUUAUUUCUCAGUUCAUUAAUCGAACAUCAGUUAAUAACUUUAUCAUAAUAAAAUAUCCAAUUUUAAUGUUACCCAUUAUAAAUAAGCACCAUCUCAAUUCCAAUAUCAGAUUUAAAAAGCUAAACAAUUCAAACUUAAACACUCUCAAUAACUCUUCAAAAUAGGUUAUACCCUAAUAUGUGCAUAGCUAAACCCAAUUAAAGUUAAGUGCACAUCAUCUUUCUCGCUAGUAUUUAGCUUCAGUUUCCAAUGAAACCUUACAUACUCGGGGAAACAACUCAAAUAGAAUCAAAGUAACAUUAACCUGUAUAAGCCGAGGUGUGGCAGUAGCUAUGAGCUUCAAAUCUGCUCCUUCUUUUGUCUUGUAUGGUUUAAUGACAAAACUUUAUUCUUCUAAACAUUCUUUCACGUUGCUGAAGUAUUUUACCUUGGUUUUUAGUUGAGUUGUUGUCCAAUAUCUUGCUCCAGGUUAAGCUUUCCUCUCUUUUGCCUUUUGAUUCUUUAAUCUUG
rnacentral:lncRNA from 1 species